GUCCAGUCAUUCGUACGGUUGUUCGGUAGAUUGAAACUACCGAACAACCGGCAGAAAAGCAUGAAUAUGGCUUUUCUGCAUGGAAAAAUAAAGUCUUUUAAAAGGGGGCCAUAGUCCAAAGGCAGCAGGCGAGCAACCAGGCUUCUCCAAUGCAAUGUGGCGAGAUUGGUCUCGUCACACCUUCCUAUUCAACUACCAUCAAGGAAACCUACACUGGGAGAUACAUGCUUGGACAGUCUAUGAGACAGGAACCUAGGGGUCUCACUAUAUCAUUCCCUAUCUUGUAGGUGGCGUGUAGGCCAGGAACCCCUACACGAAUAUUGACAGGUCGGGCAUGGAACAGGAUUGUACAAAUGGUAAUCAGAGUAUCUCACACUCACUGCAACACGUAAGGGCUCUUCUGUGUUAUACGGUCCUAAACUCUAUUGGAUCCGGCCAUCUUAGCACUCUUAGAGGACGAUGUAUUUGGAUGGAAAUCUCAACCCCGGUUUCCGGUCCCAUCCUUUUGAGAUUUCCAGGAUCCACAAUUCCCAGAAUAGUUGACCACCAUUUACCACACGAGUUCAGUUUGAGACCUUGAUUGGACGCCUUUUGGAUGUCUUUUCUAGACCGCAGCCGUGGAUUACGCCGUCCAGUUGGUAGACUGGAGUCUCUUAGGAUACGGCUAGUAUUGUCCACACUAUUAUCUGUAUAUAACUUUAUUUUGGAGGAGACAAUUCACCAGGUAGGUCAUAAAGGAACGAAUAGACACUAUUCGGUUCUAUUCGAGUAUUGACGGUGGACUUAGGCGCAGGCCUGAGGUUGGAGUUUGUCUGCAAGGCCACAUUGCCUGGUGAACCUGACACGAUCAGAGGAAUCACCUCUCACAUCAAGAGUCGAGACACGGUGGAAGUCUCUUCUCGCGACCCCUCGGCACUUUACACCUACAGGAAUAUGGCUAAUAGGUCAACUUGGCCCAUGGACCAACUGCUAGGGAACAGGUCAUAACCCCACGUACAAUGGAUCUAUCAACGGAGGUCACUUCUCGCAGUUGGAAGGUCGAUUUAGGAUUGCUCUAAUAUUCUCGGAAUGGGUACCAGUGAAACAAGCAGCGUUGGAUUUGUCGGCUGAGCGUUAAAACAGCAAAUACGAAGCCUCCUGUCAUGUUAUAAAAUUGUAGAUUAUGCUAGCUUUAGUGUACC